GACGAACCACACGAACGUUAUUCGGAAUUACUGGGCUUAAAGGGUGCGUAGGCGGUGCGGAAAGUUAGGUGUGAAAUCCCCCGGCUCAACCGGGGAAUUGCGCUUAAAACUACCGUGCUAGAGGAAGAUAGAGGUAAGCGGAACUUCGGGUGGAGCGGUGAAAUGCGUUGAUAUCCGAAGGAACACCGGUGGCGAAAGCGGCUUACUGGAUCUUUUCUGACGCUGAUGCACGAAAGCUAGGGGAGCAAACGGG
rnacentral:rRNA from 1 species